rnacentral:rRNA from 1 species
GAUGAACGCUAGCGGCAGGCUUAACACAUGCAAGUCGAGGGGUAUAGUUCUUCGGAAUUAGAGACCGGCGCACGGGUGCGUAACGCGUAUGCAAUCUACCUUUCACAGAGGGAUAGCCCCAGAGAAAUUUGGAUUAAUACCUCAUAGUAUAGUACUUUGGCAUCAAGGAACUAUUAAAGUCACAACGGCAAAAGAUGAGCAUGCGUCCCAUUAGCUAGUUGGUAAGGUAACGGCUUACCAAGGCUACGAUGGGUAGGGGUCCUGAGAGGGAGAUCCCCCACACUGGUACUGAGACACGGACCAGACUCCUACGGGAGGCAGCAGUGAGGAAUAUUGGACAAUGGGCGCAAGCCUGAUCCAGCCAUGCCGCGUGCAGGAUGACGGUCCUAUGGAUUGUAAACUGCUUUAUACAGGAAGAAACCCUCCCACGUGUGGGAGCUUGACGGUACUGUAGGAAUAAGGAUCGGCUAACUCCGUGCCA